UAUAAGUUGCCACUUUAUUCUAUGGUUUCUUUGGGUGUGCAAAAGUGUUUUAGUUUGAUGUAAUGCCAUGUAUCAGUUUUUUAAAUCAUAUCAAAAUCGUUUUCUAGACUACAAAUUUUUAAAUUUUUGCAUAAAUUAAGGUCCACUAUGUGCAGAUUUAGUUUAAUGAGAAUAAAUUACUUGACACCCAAUAAAACUGAUAAACUAGAAGGGAUUCCUAAUUUAUCAAAUACUUCCAAAGUUCCUCCUUUUUGUUAGGCCCUGUAACAGUGUUGUUCUGUGGGGCUUUAUCAUAUAGUUUACACCUCAUCUUACAACCUUACAUAGUGGAGUAUGGGCAUUCCUAUUUAAAAGGCACUGACUAAGCGAGCUGGGUUAAGGUAUUUAUAGCCACAUCUCUAAAAUUCUUAGAGUCCUCAGUUCUGUGUACCAAACUUCCCUCAGUGAUUCUGAAACAGCUAUCGUAGUACUGAGUCUCACAAAGUUGAAAAAGAAAGUCACACAGAAAGAAGGCAUUAGGGCAAAUGUAUAAUGGAAAUAUAAGAAGAAAAGUAGCUCCUGGUGGGAAUCUGAGAGAGGUUCCUGAAACGAUAUUCCAGACCCUCUGUUGGUCCAGAAAAGCUGACAGAUAAGCAGGGAAUGUGAAGCGCUCAGGUAUUGCGUGAUCACCUAUCACAGAUGCUCAGUGGGUUUAAAAUGACCAGUUGGAACUCCAGCUGUCUAAACCAGUUAGUCAACAUGAGAGUGUAAACAAAACCUGGAUUAAACAAAACAAAACAAUUAUUCUGCAUUUUAAAUUCCUUGAAACUCAGGAACUUAGUAGUAGGAAGGGACUGCAUUCCUUCACUAGAAGAAGUCCUUUCUUGGUCAAAAAUCCUACCCUACUGCUUAUUUUUAUUGUAAUUCUUAUCAUGGUGGCUGAUCAUCCCACUCUAUCUCAGGCCCCUUCCCUGUCUAUUUAUAAACUAACUAACCUGUCUUUUAAGGUUCCACAAUCUACAAAAUAAUCUCUUUAGAGAAUAACAUUUGUAUAAAGAUAGAAUCACUUUUCUUCCACUUUUAGUAAAAAAGCAUUUGUAACAGCAGUGGGGAAUAUUAACCACUAAAGGCUGUGGUAGCUUUUGUCUAAUACAAAUGCUGUCAGCACAAUUUAAACUAUAAUCCCCUUUGUUAAUAACUGGGAUUACUGAAAACAACAAUGAAGCCACUCUGAAUGUGCGAGUGAUCUACAAUAUUGAUUUUUUAUGGACUUUAUGUGCACCGAUCACAUCAUCUAAACUGCUAAUGAAAUUGUACAUGUAAAAUGUAUCAGAAAAGAAAGGAAAGAUAGUUGUUUGUUGUGCUUAUCACUGGAAAUGGGAGUGGGAACAAGCAAAUAGGCUUUCUGGCAUUGGCAAAUUGACAAAUAGAGAAUCUUCCUUAAAGACAUUAAGGCUUUGUAAAUCUUUCUUCAACAUUUUGCCUAAUUCCCAGAACGACCGCUACGUACCCCAUAUUAAUAUAAGGCAGUUUUAGAUAAGGAAUAUCUAUUUUUACAGCUGCUAUAGCAAGUGAGUAUAAUUAAGAACUAGAUAGGAGUAAUAUUGUGGGAUUGUGUAAUUGAAAUGAAAAGUUUAAUAAUGAUCUUCCUAAACUUUUUGCAUUUAUAAAAUAGGAUACCCCACUGACACUGAAUGGUAUCUUUUGAUGUGUGAACACUACCACUUUUGAGGUUGUAUUUUUGGUGAUGGGGCUGUAGGAUGGGACCUUUUGAUAUGUAUUUAUAGAAAUUUUAGGUAUGUAUUUAUAGAAUUUUUCUUAUUUAUAGAAAACUUGGAACCUGGAGAAGGAAUCCAAGAGUGGAACUCCCUGCUGAGAUAUUAGUAGGUGCCUGACAAUGCUGAUUAGCUGUCAGAACAGAACUCUAUGUCUGCUGGGAUAAAAAAAUUUUUUCCCUAGAACUUUCCAGAAAAAUUGUUUUUUUCCAUGGGAGAUAUAUAUGUUUUGCUGUUCAAACAGUUGCUUUUCAAAAAUUAGGAGCUAUCACCAGUUUAGGAGAAAAGAUUUGUUCUUUGGGCUUCUUUUCCAGGGACUCUUGAGGAGCAGAUGAGAAGGAAAUGAUUUGCUUGAGCUCAUUGUCACCGAUAGUGGGGCCGUCGUUUGGAGGAGGUGGUGUUGGUGGUGACAUACACCAGACAUUGGGACAGGCUUGUGACUUCUGUAAUUUGCCAUACUCAAAUUCUGGGAGGUGAGACUAUACCCAAGGGGAAGGUAUAAUGAUGUUCUAUCCCAGGAGGGAGUAUAGUCGCAUUCUGGACCCCACAGAGAGGGUUCUUCCCUUUCUCUGGAGACUGAGUUGGGCUGCUCUAUGGUAGAGGAAAAGUUGGGAGGCCCCUGUCUUGGGGAUACCUAUGGGACUGUGGUGGUUUGUGUCUGUGGCCCCCAGGCCUCAUGGUUUGAAUUGUGUGUUUGUUAUUCGUUCAGUGUCUAGUGCUUGGAUCGAUGGUGUCAGUGCUCCACCCACCAGGGGGUGGAGCCAGGAUGUGAUGUAAUGGCAGGAAGAAGGUGUCUCUGUCUCUUUGCUGGUUCGACUUUGCUGUUUGCAGCAACCAGGAAAGGCGGCCCAGUCAUGCUCAUCUGCCUGGGAGCCAACUGAGUGUGGACUGGUUUAAAACCUGUAAGAAAUAAACCUUUCCUUUCCCAACUUGGGCAUCAGGUGUUUUGCCUUAGCCAUGAACAUAAGGUAACUAAUUCAGGGACCUAAGCCAGAGUGCAGAAUUGGAUUACAGCCUGAAAUAUUGGUACAAUUUAAAGCAGAUAUGAAUGACAUUUAGCUACACCGAAGCUUUUUGUAAAAUUCUAGUAUGACUUCAUGAAAGGCAUGAUAUUGCUUAUUAGAAACAAAUUCAGUAAUCUAACUUGAAAAAAGCCCAAAACUAGCUUUGAAUAAUGGAACACUACUCCAAACAUUUAAAGCUGACUGCAAACCAUAGCAACACUGUCUGCCUCUGUCCUCACAUGAGCCCUAAUGAGUCCUCCAGACAAUCACAGAAUCAGAAGAACGUUCUGGUGUCUGAUGCAUGUCACCUCCAAGGACAGCUUGGGUAGAAUGGUGCCAUCCUUCUGUGCACAUGCUCAUCGAAAGUAACACAAGUAAUAAAAUGUGUAAUUGGAAACUUGCCACACAUUUGUAGAUGACUGUAACCUUCACUGAGUAUUUUUUAAAAGUUUGAUUCAUUUCAUUAACACUGUCCUGCAGGCAUCACUAUGGGGAUUUUCUUUUAUAUUUUAAAGUAAAGGCUUGCACAGUGGUUCUUUGCAAAAGCCCAGGCAGAUGUUAGCUCUGACUAGCUUUCUAGAUUUAGCACACUGGAGCACUGCAUUCCAUUGCCUUUUUUUGGUAUCGCAGGUCUUGAUCUUCAAACAAAUACGUGAAGUGGGUCAGUAAACUCUGGGUGGAAGUAAGCUAAUUAUUGACAUUGGAGAGGAUAAUGCUUGACACACUUAAAACAGUAAAUGCCCAGCUGCUCUGUAGACUACAUAGCAGUGGUGACAAAGAACCAACCCCCAAACACCCACAUGACUCUGCUCAGGUGUUUGGCAGGCUGCAGCCUGUGUUGCAUUUUCUUUUCCUUUCUUUCUUUCUUUCUUUCUUUCUUUCUUUCUUUCUUUCUUUCUUUCUUUCUUUCUUACUUUCUUCUUUCUUUCUUUCUUUCUUUCUUUGGCCCAGGGAUUGAACUCACAGCCUCUAUUUGCCAAGCAAGGACUUAUGCUGCUGAGCUAAACUCCUGGCCCUUGUGUUGCAUUUUCUACAUCCCUCAGAAUGCAACCUCGGAGACCAGACUGACAGAAGAGAAGUGAGUGCGGUGUGUUGGUUGAAAGGGGAAAGAUAAGGUCACCACCACCAAGGGAGCCCUCUCUGUCCCAGGUGUUUGCCACAGGUGACACAUUAAAUCAUCUCACUUACUGAGGAAGGAGGGAUACUGAUCGUUAUCCCCAUUUGACAGGUCUAGUGGUUGAUUGAUUGUGUCAACUUGAGACAGUUAGAAGCUAACUAAAUGGGUUUAGCAAUUCUACACCCAAGGAUGUAGAAGAAGACCCACCCUAGGGUGAGUUAUCACCUCGAGGUAUAAAAGGAGAGGAGGAAGGACGAAUCCAUUCCAUUCUUGGGAGAAGCUCCAGUCUUCGCCUUUGGUUUGGACCUCGCCUCCUGGCUUCCAGUACAGACUCUUCAGCUUCCCAGCGUAGACUCUUCAGCCUUCCAUCACAGAGCCUUCGGCCUUCUGUCGCAGACCCAUCAUCCUGCUGGUGUGGACUUGCACAAGACACUAGGGUGAACUCCAGAUCUUGGAUUGAAUCCUUCGGUCUCCAGUGCAUAGACACCCUCUGCACGCUUCCUCAUCGGACUCUGUGACUGACUAUCGAAUAACUCAUGGUAGUACUUCAAAAUGCACGCUUUGUAUAACUGUUACCAAUGAGAAGAAAGCUUGAGUCUACUGGGCCACAUCACAGUGGAUUUGUAUGGCAGGAGUGUUAUGGUAUGUCUGCAAAUUAAGGGUCUGCUCCCAGAUGCACCCUGGAGUAAAGGUAUUACUUCUGGUAAGAAAUUUGUAUAUAUAUAUAUAUAUGUUUUCUCACUUUGGCUCAUUUUCUUCCACUUAUGCAAAACAUAUGUGACUCACUGCAUGUGUUUUUGCUUCAGGGAUCAUGUGAAACUUCAGAAAUUACACUGUAUGCUUCACUGGAGCCAUUUGGGGGAAAAAAGCUAUAUAAAUCUCAAGAUCACCCUCACCAUAUGACAGUGCCACUAUUAACACCAACAAUGCCAGGGUUUCUUAGGAGAAAUGUGGUAGUUUUCUCUUCUACUUAUGAAUAUGACACUUAUGAUUUUAUCACUGAUAUGUUACCUUCCACAGUCACUUCUGCCUAUUUAAACCUCAGCUAUUUUAAACAUGACUAAUGGGAUACAACUUCUAGGGAGCAAAAAUGAAUAAGCACGACAUGUUAAUGGCAGAGGUUGUUAGCAAACUCUUCUUUUUGAUCCUUCAAGUUCUUCUCCUUGUUUAUUUAGAAAUUAUCAGCUUUCAAAAAUGUCUUUGAUGUUAAUUUGAACCUGCGCUUUUCUCACUCACCUCUGCCCAGUUUCCAACAUUCACACACACAAGUGCAUGCCCGUGCACACGCACAUGUGCCACACACUCGUUUCGAUAACAGCAUUUCACUCAUGCUUAUGUAUUUAUGUUAUAUAAAUACAAAUGUUCUCUCUUGUUGCCCAAUUCUCAAGAUCUCAGAUCUCAAUUAAUAAACACAGUGAGUGUCAUCUGAAUGAUCUAUAUUAUAGAAUGAUCUCUGUGUUUAAUAGCUGUAGCUAGUAGACCAAGUUGAUUUUCUCAAACAACCCAUUAAAUUUUGAGCGUAUAAAAACAUAUUAUCUUUGAAUAUCAACAUUAAAAAUUCCUUAAGGAUGUCUUAAACUGCCCUGAAAGUCUGUGAAAUCUUUCAUUUUAUGAUGACAAAUUCUUGCUUUUGGGUGGGGGCUGGGGAUUGAACAUAUGACCUCGCACUUGCCAGGCAGGCACUUAUGCCACUGAGCUAAGUCCCCAACCCAAUUCUCACUAUUUAAUAAGGACUGAUUUUUUUUUUUUUUUUUUUUUUUUGCAGUCCAGGCCAGUCUUGAAUUCACUACACAGCCUAGGGAGCCUCAAACUCAAGGCACUCCCCUACCUCAGUGCCCUCAGUGCUGAGAUUACAUAUAUUCACCACCAUAUCCGGCCGUGGAGUAGAUCUUUGAAAAAGGCUUCAUUCAGAGUCAAGCUGUUGAGUAAAGGGAAUAAUUAAGCUGAGAAUUGAGGGGUAUGUGUGUGUGUGUGUGUGUCUGUGUGUGUGUGUGUGUGUUAAAAACAAGCUUUGGCUAUAAUGUAAUGCUGUGACUUUUAGUAAGUAACUAAAAGUUCUAGAAAUUGUUUGCUAUUUGUGGUGUAUUUUGAAAAAGUACUCGCAGCUGAAAAAUAGAACAGCAGUCUUUCAUUAAACAAAAAAUAAAAAUAAAUUUCAACUUUAAAUUUAAAUUUCCUUAGAUGAUACUCUAUGGUAAGAGUUUGAGUUAUAGUCUAGUUGAGAUUUUUUAAAACACAUUAGAUAAUAUUACAAAAGGCUAACAUAUAUUGCAAUGAGACAUUUUUUUAAAGUGGCUUGCAACCUAACUUUAUAGGCAAUUCAAAAAAUAAAGACUCGAAAUAUUUUGAAAACUGGCAACUGCAUUGUAAUUAAGGUUUAUUUGAAGGUGGUACUCAUUUUAGCAGUCAAAUUCUAAUACAUUCAUUUAAAAAUUAGAUUAAUACUUGAUAUUCAUGUUUUUUAUAUCCAACUAUUUGCUCCCAAAGUUGGAGAUCUUUGCAAAUUUUAGACUAAAAAUUUCCAUACUUCUUAAGAGAAAAGACCAAGUUGUAUAAUAUUUCUUAUUGUAUUCUUAGCUCUCUGAAAUUACAGGUUCGAGAGGAACAUCAAGUGUAACUCUUGAUUGAAUUCUUAGUUUUUAGGCCAAUACAUUGUUCUAUGCAUUACAUUUACAAAACUGUAAUCCUGCAACCUUUAUCAAUAUACUUAAGUAUCCUCAUGACCUUUGAAGGACAAUGACCUGAAGAAAUUUCCCAGGUUUUUCCUUCCCAAGUGGAGUCAUCUGGUAUUUUAGACUACAGUAAAAACAAUGUGACAGAGGCUCGAUAGAGAAAGCCCUAACUACUGAUCCCAGUCUGUAGCAUCCUGUCUAUCUAGCUAAAGAGACAGGUGAGCACCAAAGCAAAAUGCAUUACGACUCCUAAAAUAAAAACACCAGUGCAUUUCGUACCCUGCAAAACUCUUCUAUUCUGGACACAGAGAGGUUCUACUAAUAUCCAGUUCAUUAGGCAAGAAAAUAGGACGUCAAAUGUGGGGUCACUAAUGAUCGGGCUCUUCGUUUCAUCAUGAGGCACUUUUGCACUGCCUGGCCUAGCAGCUGUGCAUUUGCAGAAAUCCAUUGAAGCCAAAUGUCGGGAAGGAAUUCCCUAACUGUGCCUAUGACAUGAUUCAGCUAUUUUUAGGGUUUCAGCUGGUGUCCCUACCAAUUCCACAUGAUCUAGAGGAUGCUCUAUUUCCUUCUAUUGAGAUAAUUUGGGAAAUGAGUAUUGGAUGGAAUCUUGUUCCUUGAAUUACUACUAAUGCUACCUUACAAUAGAUGAGUUCUUAGAAUUCUUUCCAUUGGCCUAAUACACCUCCUCACACUUGCAUAGCAUAGAAAAUUAAGGAAAAAUGGACUAUAGAAAGCCUGAGAGUCUCUGGUUCCUGUCACUUUAUUAGUAAUUCAGAGAGUGAACCUAACGUGAGAUCCACCACGUGGUAGUUUUUACUCUGGGCUCUGCAGGCCGUGGGCCUUUCUGCUUAGAGUAUCCAGGGUGAAAUUCACACCUGGCAUUUUUAGUGGUCUCUUGUGUGAUUCUUGCACACUGAAGUCUGAGACCACUGCUGACAAAGCUCCACAACAUAAGAGAAGGAGCUUGAAGUUCUCAGAUGUUCUAGCCCCAUUCCACACUCACCUAUCUUACAUAUUGACUCCUCUCUCUCUGGUUUUAAAUGAAAUGCUUCUAUGACAAGAGAACAAAAAGGUAGAAACAACUCCUCCAGUGAAAGAAACUUUUCUCAUGCUUAUCUGAAAUGAGACUGUCUUGUGCAAGAAAGUGACUUUGCCCAGACAAUUGAAAGACACAGAAAGCCACUUACUUCAUCAACCUUCAGGACACUGAUUCUUCAACUCCAGCUGCAACUGGUUUGUAGCCCAGGGGUUCCUGAAGACCCUUGAACAUGUUGGUGAGGGUCCUGGGUUUAACCUUUUCAGUUGAACACCCAGGAGCCCACUCCAAUUUUCAAUCUGACAUUUAUCCCAAGAGUAACUCAUUUCAGUUAAGGCUUAAAAAUAUUACACACACACACACACACACACACACACACACACACACACACGGCCACAGCAUGCAUUUCACAUGGUACCUUAUAGGUCACAUAAACAAAGACAUUAAGACAUUGUAAUAUGGUUGCUUGUAAGACAAUUUUGUAUAGUGUGAAUGUUUGCUUUCAUAAAGGCCUGAAGGAAGCCUUUUCUAUAAAACCAAAUUUAGCAAGAAGUCUAUUAGAUGAGAACAACAAAAUAUACAAAUAAUAGAUUUUAAAUUUUUAAGCAAAUGUUAAUGUGGAAGAAAAUAAUAUCAUUUUUAUGUGUCAAAAGAAAAAGAAAAAACUCAAAGUAUAUGAGGUAGCCAGGUGUGGUGGUACAUGUCUGUAUUCCCAGUGCUCUGAGAGGAUAAAGGAGGACAAUUUUGAAUCUGAGCGUAAUAUGGCACGCCGUGGAAUUUCUUAUGUUCUAAAAACUCAUUAAUGUAAUUGAGAUAAGUCAAUAUGUUAAAAUUUCCAAGCCCAUAAAAUAUGGUACAUAGUAACUGUCAUACUUUAUUUUGCGCUAUUAUAUAUAAAGUGUGUGUCUCUGUGUUUGCAUCUGUGUUUCUGUACGCAUCUUGUGUGUCUCUGCAUAUGUGUAUGUGUCUACACAUGUCUAUACUACAUAAUCUGUGAGAUGUAAAAAUAAAAAACUGAGUCAAACCUUAAGAUGCAGAAGGAGAAAGUAUAAUGCUCACCCUAGACAUCACAAUAAAUGCAAGGAUUUGAGAGCUGUAUUAUCACAUAGGAGACAUUGGAAAGUCCAAAUGCAUAUUUUAACUGGUUUUUUUUUUUCUAUGAUAGUACUUUUUUUUGCCAUGGGUCCUUUUAUGUACUGUGUAUGUGUGCACGCCUCUGAAUGUUUGUCUCGAUAUAUUUUCUCCUGAAUCAGGGAAGCUGAGGCCAGUGACCUGGCACUGGCCCAGGAAGAGCUUAAGACCAUGGCUCCCAGAGGUUAGAUGCUCGCCCAGCUCCCUGAAACACUGGAGGAGGAUAGGGAGGUUCCUUGGGCCUGACUGCACCAUGUCUGGCAACCUUCUUUCAAUCUAGGGAGCUGAGAGCACAUGAGGUGAGUUCCAGCAUGUCCGCGCUAGCCCAGGGAGAGCUUUGGACCAUCAUCCACAGUGGUUAGGAGCCCGCCCAGCUUCCUGGAACACCAGAGGUGGCAUGGGAAGUCCUGCGGGUCUGACUGGGCUACACUCAGCAAUCUCCAUUCAGUCCCAGGAGCUGAGGGCACAGGAGGUGAUUUCCAACACGCCCAGGAGAAGCUUUAGAACAUCGCUUGAAACAUAGAAAUAUAUGAAAACGACAAGAUGAAAGACCAAAAUGCAAUCUCAAACCUCCAGCCCAUCCCAAGAAAGCCUAGGAGCCAUGUACAUAGAAGAAAAUAUAAGCUAUACAACCUGAAAUGCCUGAAAUGAUAUCAACUGAAAUAAAGAAACAACCCAAGGAAGCUUUAGAACUCCAAUCAGAAAAAAUCUCCUAGGUAAAAGAAGAAAUGAUAAAAGUAAUGAAAGAAAUGCUAAACACAUCUAAAGAAGACACAGUUAAAACAUUAGAGGACCAAUGCAAAAAGAUGGAGUCCCUGAAUGAACAGUAUAAGAAACAAACGGUGCAUGAAGCAGAUUCAAAGAGAUAUACAGGAAAUAAAAAAUUCCAUUGAAAGUUGGCAAAACUCACCUCAACAAAAGUGAAGAUAGAAUUUCAGACCUAGAAGACAAAAUUGCAACUAGUGAACAGGAAAGGAAAGAUCUUUUAAAAAUAACAAGGAAUCAGGAAAUAACAAUUCAACAGUUGCAAGAUGAUGCAAAGAUUUAUUUUCUCCUGUUUUUGUUGGUGUUAUUUGAUAAGAUUUAAAAGAAAAAAUCCUUUUAAGUUCAUAUUCACUAGAGAAUUCAAAAGUUAGCCCAGAGGCAAUUAUGGUUGUCACUGUCCUAUGCAUCUUUCAGAGAUAUCUUGUGAAAAUUUAGGCAUAAAUGCAUGUAUUUAUUCUUUUUUAAAAUAAAGUAUAAUAGCACAUAAUAUUUUGUACUUGAGACCAUUUAUAAGACAUUGUAUGUUUAAUGGUAGCAUAUUGCUUUAUUGUCAUACCAUAAUUAUUUUAACUUAUUCUUUACCCAUAGACAUUUAUGUUUUCAGUUGGUGGCUAUUCUAGUACAUUCCUAGAAGUAGAAUUGUUCAAUGUGUGCAUUGUAUUCCUUUAGUAACUGUGGCAAUUUCUAAUAGACUUCAAAAUCUAAAACAAAUCAAUGUAUUUACCCCUACCCCAAGCAAUUCACUCUGUAAAUACCUUGACUGUGAUUACUCCCUCUUUACUUCUUAGUAUGAGUGGUAUCAAUAUAUCCCCCCCCCAAGCUUCAUGUGCUCAUAGAUGCGGCUUCUGGGUGCUACCUGGCUCAUUGCUAUGUGAUACUAGAUUAUAAUAUGAGAUACUGGGACUAAAAUGUGUGAUAACUAAAUUGGUUAAGCAUAUUUCUGGGUGUGGGUAGCAACAAUGUAUAUACCUGUAGUCUAGAUGGAAGGAUCAGAAAGAAAGAAGGCUCGCUGCUUACAAGUAAACCAUCUUAUUACUUUAAAACUACAAUAUGAUUAUAUUGCACAUAACUGUAAAUUCUUAAAACUUUUAAUCUUUUUAAAAUAUGUUUACUAUUUAAAUAUGAAAACUGGAAACUUUUAUAAGAACAGAAGAUCCUUAGAUACUUUCAAUUCAAAUAGUGCCUCAUCCUCAUUUUUUAUUAUGCCCUCUGCAACUCUGAUUUGGAUUCUGUGAUUCUGAAACUUGUUCUUUGCUACUAGGUUGUUAAUACCUUGACGUUGUUUUCUAUUUCAUUUUCUCUCUGUGCUGAGUUCUAGGUGAUUUCUGCAAUACUCUUUCCUAUUUCUUUAAAUAAUUUUAAGCUUUGCUGUAUAAUUUCAAUGUUGGAUUUGAUUUUAAAUCUUAUUUUUUAUUUUUAAACAUUCUUUUAGAUUCAUUUUAAAUAUUCUUUAUUGACUUUGUAAUUGUUCAUUCGUAAUGCCUUGUGUUUCUAUGUUUAUUAUGAUUUUUGACUCUGGAUAUAUGCUCCUUGAGGUUUUAGCUUUAGCUGCACCUCAAAUUUGCCUCUCUUUGCAUUUGCCUCUCUCUGGUAUUUUAGGGGUCAUUUCCAACAGGUGGGCAUUUUAAGAUUAAUUCUAACUUUGUAGUAAGAAUUGAGCUGUAAAUUCAUAUGAAAACUGGGUUAUGUUUCUGGAUUUUCAAUGGAGAUGCUUUCUUUCUCAACAUCUCUCCAAGGCUGAAAAGGAAGCACUUGUUACAACCACCUCUGUUAGUCCUCAGCUUCAUCUGAUGUUCGUAGAUUCCUCUUGGGUUUUCCUUUCAGAGCCGCCUCCUUGGUUGGGUGUCGGGAUUUGUCUUGUAUCCCUCACCCUUUCCACAGUUCUUCAAAACAGAACUGGAAGGUAAUCGUGGUUUCAAAUACACCCAGAGCAAAAGUCAAAUUUACUGCUUAGUUACCUCUGUGCACUUCUCCCUUUAAUUAACUUUUAGUCUCUCAUGAUUUUUAUCGUGCUGUUUGCUAAUGAAUUGAUUUUAAAAGUUUUAAUUUGAAUAAACAAAAGCCUCUGUCUUCGUUCA